GAUGAACGCUGGCGGCGUGCUUAACACAUGCAAGUCGAACGAUGAAGCCCAGCUUGCUGGGUGGAUUAGUGGCGAACGGGUGAGUAACACGUGAGUAACCUGCCCUUAACUCUGGGAUAAGCCUGGGAAACUGGGUCUAAUACCCGAUAGGAGCGUCCACCGCAUGGUGGGUGUUGGGAAGAUUUAUCGGUUUUGGAUGGACUCGCGGCCUAUCAGCUUGUUGGUGAGGUAAUGGCUCACCAAGGCGACGACGGGUAGCCGGCCUGAGAGGGUGACCGGCCACACUGGGACUGAGACACGGCCCAGACUCCUACGGGAGGCAGCAGUGGGGAAUAUUGCACAAUGGGCGCAAGCCUGAUGCAGCGACGCCGCGUGAGGGAUGACGGCCUUCGGGUUGUAAACCGCUUUCAGUAGGGAAGAAGCGAAAGUGACGGUACCUGCAGAAGAAGCACCGGCUAACUACGUG
rnacentral:rRNA from 1 species